GACAGAGGGUGCAAAACGUUUGUUCGGAAUACUGGGCGUAAAGCGUGUGUAGGCGGCUUUGUAAGUCGGAUGUGAAAGCCCCGGGCUCAACCUGGGAAGUGCACUCGAAACUGCAAAGCUUGAGUAUCGGAGAGGUUGGUAGAAUUCUCGGUGGAGAGGUGAAAUUCGUAGAUAUCGAGGGGAAUACCAGUGGCGAAGGCGGCCAACUGGGACGAAUACUGACGCUGAGACACGAAAGCGUGGGGAGCAAACAGG
rnacentral:rRNA from 1 species